rnacentral:tmRNA from 1 species
GGGGAUGAUCGGUUUCGACAUUGCCUGUUCAACGACGGGAAGCGGGCGGAGGAGGCGUGCUUAUCUCCUUAACGAUGCACGCAAACAAUAGGUGCCAGUAAGUCUCGCACCGCGUUCGCUCUCGCUGCUUAAGCCAGAGUGACGCCGUCGGCCCGGGUAACGCCUUCGCCCCGGUAGCCGGCGUCAGCUAGAAGGCUCGCUACGGACGUUCCGCCUCGGGGCGCCGUGGGACUCCAACCGGGGCUGGGCCCGUCGAUCGCAAUCCGUCUGCGGUAAGGAUCGGGGCCGAGCAGAACGACACACGCAGACUGCGCCCGGAGAAGACGUGGUUCCUCAGCAGUGGACGGGGGUUCGAUUCCCCCCAUCUCCACGC